rnacentral:rRNA from 1 species
ACGAACGCUGGCGGCAUGCCUAACACAUGCAAGUCGAACGAAGCCUUCGGGCUUAGUGGCGCACGGGUGCGUAACGCGUGGGAAUCUGCCCUUGGGUUCGGAAUAACAGUUAGAAAUGACUGCUAAUACCGGAUGAAGUCUUCGGACCAAAGAUUUAUCGCCCAGGGAUGAGCCCGCGUAGGAUUAGGUAGUUGGUGGGGUAAAGGCCUACCAAGCCGACGAUCCUUAGCUGGUCUGAGAGGAUGAUCAGCCACACUGGGACUGAGACACGGCCCAGACUCCUACGGGAGGCAGCAGUGGGGAAUAUUGGACAAUGGGGGAAACCCUGAUCCAGCAAUGCCGCGUGAGUGAUGAAGGCCUUAGGGUCGUAAAGCUCUUUUACCAGGGAUGAUAAUGACAGUACCUGGAGAAUAAGCUCCGGCUAACUCCGU